rnacentral:sRNA from 1 species
GCCCGACCCGGAAUAUAUUCAGUUUGGCAUUAGAGCUCGUACGGAGCACAUCUCGUUCCGGGAAAAUAAAAAUGUGAAAAAAAAACACAAAAUUUUUAGUGAAAACCAAAAGAAGUUUGGGUUUGCUUCGGUUCGCUUCGGUUCGCUUCGGUUCACUUCGGUACUGAGGGACGCUCUUUCAAAAAUGAAAUCAACACCUAAAAUAACACAUAUAGUCACACAAUCUGAGUGCAGUUGAUGCUUCUACCGCACUGACCUAGUGAAUCCCGUUCACCAUUCCAUAUGUUAAUUGAUUGCUUGGCAACAAUCAAUUGCAUAACCAAACCAGAAAUACACGCCAUUGCUUUUUGUAACGACGUGAAAGCAAUGGCAACGGAUGCGAAGCAGCCGCUUAA